ensembl:snRNA U6 U6 spliceosomal RNA
AUGCUCUCUUCGGCCCCCAUACAUACUAAAAUUGGAACCAUACAGAGAUUAGCAUGGCUCCUGAGCAGGGAUGACAUGCAAACUCAUGAAGCAUUCUAUAUUUUU